rnacentral:lncRNA from 1 species
UCAGGUCCUCGGGUAUUUACACACAUUUUUACUCGAGCAAGAAGAUCAUAAUCCGAGAUUUACACGUGCUGGCCUCCUGCUCUGAUACUCUCCAAGAUUUCCAGAAAAUUGAAUGGAGUGCAUAUAAUAUACAAAUGAAAAACCCGGAAGAAACGAGCAAAAAAGACCACUCAUAAUGCAAUCCUCAGAGAGAAACAUGAUUAUUUUCGUCAAAAUAAUCUACCACUCAGCCGCAAACACAAACCAGGAAGCUCCAAGCAAUUGCAUGAUGCACAUAUAGCUUAUAUAAGGAAAUCAGGCUAUGCUUCUCUUGCCAGACUAGGUCCUUUUCCUUGCAAUUUUGCAGACAUCAAUCAUGGCCAGAACCAUCGAUUUGGAAAAGCAGUGUAGCUCAGAUGCGGCUUACUGAGAAGAUUGAACCGAAGAGCACAGUGCAGCUAGAUCUAAUACAUGGCUUUGUUUAGCCAUCGACUGAGUUAUUUAUAAAUAAAUAAUUAGAAGCAAGUUAGUUAUAAAUAAAUAAUUAGAAGCAAGUUGGUAAACACAUGGACCGCCCAAUUAGUUGGUAAGCAUCAUUUUUAUAUAAUUAUCGUCAACAAUCUAAUUCCUUAACAAUCAUCACAAUUGUUUCUGCAGUUGACUCCAACCAAAUUCAUUCAUGUCAUUUUCCAAAAAUCAUGAUAUUAAAUAAUCUGAAGCCUGUUUUAUUUCGAACAGUUUUCCUUCCCUUAUUUUUUCACUUGUAAUACAAUAUUUAGUCAUUCUGAAGACUCUGAGCCAUACAUAAACACUCUAAAAAACACAGGGAAGUAAUUAAUCAAAAAAUAUAUAUUUACCACUGAGAAAAACUCACAUACAUACAUUGUUCUAGAAAUCCCCGAUUUAACCGAUUAAUCCCCGAUUAACAAGUUCGGCCACCGAUUCGAUUUCUGAAAUCCGAUUAAUCCUUAUAUAUAUUUCUUAAUCGAAGUAUAUAUGAUAAAUUAUUAAAAUUAAAAUACUAUAUUACUUCAAAUAUGAAUAAUUAUAGAGUUUAUGAUAUAGUAAAUAUAUUAAUUACUAAAUAACUAAUAUAAUAAUAACCAAAAUAUUAAAUAAUAUUUUAAUACUAAAAUAAAUCCGAUUUUCACUCCGAUUAAUCCUUCCGAUUAAUCCCUGAUUUCCGAUUAAUUCCUGAAUCGGUAGCUCAACCGAUUAAGUCCGAUUCUCGAUUUCUGUAACACUGCAUACAGAUACCAGGUACUGUGAACAUGAACCAAACAAAAAGUGGAACUCAGGUCCUCGGGUAUUUACACACAUUUUUACUCGAGCAAGAAGAUCAUAAUCCGAGAUUUACACGUGCUGGCCUCCUGCUCUGAUACUCUCCAAGAUUUCCAGAAAAUUGAAUGGAGUGCAUAUAAUAUACAAAUGAAAAACCCGGAAGAAACGAGCAAAAAAGACCACUCAUAAUGCAAUCCUCAGAGAGAAACAUGAUUAUUUUCGUCAAAAUAAUCUACCACUCAGCCGCAAACACAAACCAGGAAGCUCCAAGCAAUUGCAUGAUGCACAUAUAGCUUAUAUAAGGAAAUCAGGCUAUGCUUCUCUUGCCAGACUAGGUCCUUUUCCUUGCAAUUUUGCAGACAUCAAUCGUAGAGAAUAAGUUAUCUCAGUAAAUGAUGGUCGGACAUUAGGGUCAGCGGACCAGCAUUGUUCCAUCAAAUUCUUCCACUCACUAUCACACCGUACUGGAAUGGGGGGACGAAGAGUGUUCUUCACAAUUCCACCUACAUUCAUAAAUUCAAAUAAAUCAAACCAAUACUGACUAGCAGAAGCUGGGGUGGACCAAAGAUUUAAAUCUAAUGGGGUUCAAGUAGCAAAAAUUUAGUACAUGCAUUGUGUUUUCAAAAUUGGAAGUCGAAUUUACCGGAUACACAAAAAUCAAGUCAUUACUGGUU